rnacentral:pre_miRNA from 2 species
AGGUUGGGAUUGGUAGCAAUGCUGUGUGUUUUGAAGGUAUUGCACUUGUCCCGGCCUGU